rnacentral:rRNA from 1 species
AUUGAACGCUGGCGGCAGGCCUAACACAUGCAAGUCGAACGGUAACAGGAAGACGCUUGCUUCUUUGCUGACGAGUGGCGGACGGGUGAGUAAUGUCUGGGAAACUGCCUGAUGGAGGGGGAUAACUACUGGAAACGGUAGCUAAUACCGCAUAACGUCGCAAGACCAAAGAGGGGGACCUUCGGGCCUCUUGCCAUCGGGUGUGCCCAGAUGGGAUUAGCUAGUAGGUGGGGUAACGGCUCACCUAGGCGACGAUCCCUAGCUGGUCUGAGAGGAUGACCAGCCACACUGGAACUGAGACACGGUCCAGACUCCUACGGGAGGCAGCAGUGGGGAAUAUUGCACAAUGGGCGCAAGCCUGAUGCAGCCAUGCCGCGUGUAUGAAGAAGGCCUUCGGGUUGUAAAGUACUUUCAGCGGGGAGGAAGGGAGUAAAGUUAAUACCUUUGCUCAUUGACGUUACCCGCAGAAGAAGCACCGGCUAACUCCGUG